rnacentral:snoRNA from 1 species
AAUGUGUAGUAUGUGUAUGUUGUAUUAGUGUGUGUUGUGUGUGUGUGUGUGUGUGUGUACAUGCACACACACACACACACACACACACACACACACACACACACACACACAGAGACAUAUAUAUAUAUAUAUAUAUAUAUAUAUAUAUAUAUAUAUAUAUAUAUACAUAU